rnacentral:rRNA from 1 species
ACGGGUGAGUAACACGUGAGUAACCUGCCCUUGACUCUGGGAUAAGCCUGGGAAACUGGGUCUAAUACCGGAUAUGACUCCUCAUCGCAUGGUGGGGGGUGGAAAGCUUUUGUGGUUUUGGAUGGACUCGCGGCCUAUCAGCUUGUUGGUGGGGUAAUGGCCUACCAAGGCGACGACGGGUAGCCGGCCUGAGAGGGCGACCGGCCACACUGGGACUGAGACACGGCCCAGACUCCUACGGGAGGCAGCAGUGGGGAAUAUUGCACAAUGGGCGCAAGCCUGAUGCAGCGACGCCGCGUGAGGGAUGACGGCCUUCGGGUUGUAAACCUCUUUCAGUAGGGAAGAAGCGUAAGUGACGGUACCUGCAGAAGAAGCGCCGGCUAACUACGUGCCAGCAGCCGCGGUAAUACGUAGGGCGCAAGCGUUAUCCGGAAUUAUUGGGCGUAAAGAGCUCGUAGGCGGUUUGUCGCGUCUGCUGUGAAAGACCGGGGCUCAACUCCGGUUCUGCAGUGGGUACGGGCAGACUAGAGUGCAGUAGGGGAGACUGGAAUUCCUGGUGUAGCGGUGAAAUGCGCA